rnacentral:lncRNA from 1 species
UCAAGCUUUUCAAAGUUACAGGUACUCAGGAUGCUGCGUUGCGGUCGACGUUACCAGCCAAUAGUGGAAGAAGGCAACGUUCUAUCUGCUGAUGCUGAAUCAUUGAUGAAGGAAAUCCACUGUUUGGAACAAUUAAAUCUCAUCACCUUGUCCUUACAUGGUUCGCGUGGUGUUGAAAACUUUCUGAAAUUCCCAAAGCUGCAGAAUAUCACUCAAGCUCUGUCCAUCGAAGACUGCAACAGUCUACCGCUCAAUUUGUUACAUCUAGCAAACAUGGAGCAUCUUGAGGAGUUAUAUAUCGAGGAUAGUAAUUUGGAAGACUGGAAUGUCGACUGCGCGGGAGAGGUACAAAAAAUGCGUAAACUUCACUCGGUUCUCAUACGGAAUUGCUCAAAUGUGAAGGACUUGACGUGGCUUGUUUUUGUUCCAAAUCUCAAGUGGCUGCGAAUAGUUGGUUGUGAUGACAUGGAAGAAAUAAUCAGUGUUGAAAAAUUUGAAAAAUUGAGUGAAGUUUCAGAGAUGAUGGGAGAGCUUAACUUGUUCUCAGAACUCGAACUUCUGGUAAUAAGAAAUGCAAGUAAUUUGGAGCGCAUCUACCGCGAUCCCUUGCCCUUUCCACAGCUGAACCGAAUUAGCAUAUUGAAAUGCCCAAAGUUGAAGAAGCUCCCACUCAAUUCCAGCAGCGCAAAGGGACGUAAAAUUGCCCUUGCGGGACAGAAAGAAUGGUGGGAAGAGCUACAAUGGGAGGAUCAAGCCACUCAAAAUGCUUUCUCUCCCUGUUUCCGACCUAUUGAAGAAUAAAGUGCGAUAAGGCACAAAAGUGUGAAUAAAAUUUCUGCGCGUGCUUAAUGAUUAUCUUGUCUAUCUAUUUCAUUUAAUUUAAAAGUUUUCUACGGAGUUGCAUGUGUGUCACUUGUCAUUCUUCUGUACUGCUGUUUCCUAUUUCCAGUUAAUAAAAUUUUUUUGUUCUUAGAGUUAGAAAUGCUUUACUUGUAAGGGAGAUUCACAAUUUUCCCAUAUUAUGAUUAAUAUAUUCUUUUUACUUUCCUACUAUUUUGCAUAAUUUUUUAAUAUUAUUUUUAUUUCUAAAUAUAUUUUUAUUCAUAUUUAUUAUAAAUUAAAUAAAUGUAUGAAUAGAAAUAAAAAUAAAAAUAAAAAUUAAGUAUUAAAACAAGAAAUAUAUAUUAUGAUUUGAAUAAAAAAUAAAUAUUUUUUUGUACUUAGAAUGCCAUUUGUCGUGAGCACCUGAAUCCCCAAAGGACUCCCAGCUUCAAGUGGCUUUGACUUAGCUUGCUUUAGCUCCAUUGCACAUACUCACUCACAUGGAGGAAAUGAACAGAACAAGAAACCUCAUCAUGCCGAAUAUGAUAGAUAUGACAAGGCAUUACAUUGUAGGAAGCUCCCGAUUUCUCUAAAAAACUCUGCAGGUUCUCCGCAAUCAAGGCGUGCUCCAUCUUUAACAGAUCACUUCUACCAUUAAGAGAAGGAAGAGAGUUCCUCUCGUGUGACAGUAAAUCCUUACUUAACACAGGAUUGGAGCCAACCAAGAAGGGAAGGCAAUUUCGUUAGAUUAAGAAUCGAAUCACCAUCCAAUAUAGUAGCAUUUGAACCAGAACUCUUGUUAAAUUCUUGAAAUCUCCUGCUUUCAUCAGUCUGUAAGAGAAAUGAAGAUGAGAAUAAUAGCCAGAACCGGAUUAAAUUCAAUCUGGUCUUUUGAAGACUUCUAUAACAACUAAGAGAACCCAGUGUACCGCCUACAGAUACUGUCAGGCUUCUAUCAAAUAUCCCAAACACCAAAAACCAACCAAAUUAAGCUAACAAACCUGCAUGAAUAUCUAAAUUUCAAUGCAUAUGAAACAAACUCCAUGUUCAAUCCACCAAAACUAGCAAAUUUCAAACUUUAUCACUCAUCAUUCUCUCUCUGUCAGCUGUACGAGGCUAUGAGAUCAUGUUAUAAUGUUCAUAUUGAUGCUGAAUGUUUUGCCAGCUUGUCUGAAUUCCAUAAGAGAAUGCAAUGUGCACAUUAUUGUGCCUUGCCCACCAGUAGAUUCUAAACCACAAAAUCAUUCUGUGAAGUAGCUGACGUUUCGCACAUUCUUAUCCCUUACCAUCAAUAUUCUUCUCCUCAAGCUUAGAUCAUGGAAAUUUGAGUGAUAACACGAUCUAAACUUUAGGGGCAUAAAGUAACAUAGAAGCAACAUGGGAUGUUUUAAAAUCUAUUAUAAUUUGCUUAGGCCCCUGAAUAAAAUUAAAACUUGAAAUGAAAUAAAGUAGCAAAAUAAAGAUUGGAGGUCGCAUGCUUGAUAUUUGAUGCUGUCAAAAUUAAUUUGCAGUGCUGAAAUUGCUGCUCCAAUAAAUUUUUCAAUGGGAUUUCCAUAUUUACAACAAAUUUUCAGUAUUGAAACAGGAUUAAAAUCAUAAAGUGUCUUUUAAACAGCAGAGGCAACAAGAUCCUACAGAAAAAGAAGGCAAAAAGUAGUUACAAGCUACAGAAACGCAAAUAUUCUACUGGCCAACUCCCACUAAAUUCGAAGCGAUUCUAAAAUCUCAGCUUGUACUACUACAUCAUUCCUUCUAUGUAGCCCAACUGUACUUCACCCAGAAAUCACAUUUCUUCAUCAGAGAUAAUUUUACAUCAUUCCUUAUCAUUAGGCAUAAGGCUCCCAAUGUUCUUGGAGGAAUUAUGAUGAAUAUGAGGGUUUCAAAAAAGAAAAAAAAAUAUUAUGACAACCUCUAGGCGGAGGAAAUCAGUUUUCUAGGAAUUCGUUAGAUUGGUGAAGUUAUAGAACCUUAGCAAUUUGCUGUAGUUUGGAAUGUUUUUGCCUUUCAUUAUAGCAUUUGCAAAGGCUCAAGGAUAUAGAAGAACCUUGGCUACAAAUUCAGGGAAGAUUUCACUUAUAAUGAGAAAUAAUCACCAUUAUUCUAUACAAUGAGAAAACAGUUAUGGAAGAAAUAGAAAGAAUUACCCGAAACGAAGGAUUUGGAAGACAAUGAGACAAAAGUAUAAAGAAGAAGAAAUUGGAGAUAUAAUGGCUGCCAAUUUCUUUGAUGAACCCAUCAAAAACGGCUUGAAAAUUAAAGAAAUUGUCAAAUGCUGUAACGGAGGAAUUGAAACUGUAAAAGAUGCAAGUUAAUUCAUGGGGCUGGCCAUCUUGAUUGAUUGAACACCUACACGUGACAAGUGUGCGAUAAUCGUUAUAUCUUCAAUUUUAGGCAGUUUUUCAUUUCUUUUAUUUUAAUAGUAAAAAAAUACGCCAUUUUAGAUACAAAUGCCCCUGACUAGCCCUUUUGUAAGUUACAUUGUUUGGUGCGAUAGUCCCGCACGUGCUUGACAUUUGCCGAAUAUCUUAUGCGCAUUUUUUUUCCCCUCUAACUCAUUGUGUAUGCUCAUCUUUAUGUGCGUUAUUACCUAAACUUAUAUACCAAUCAAAAUAAAUCAUAAAGUAUCAAACGCUUUUAAAUGAUUUUUAAUAUUAAAGAACUCACUUUAAUGAUGUUUAAUUGGUAGUAGCCCUUUAUAGUCUUUAAACCUUUAGCAGUGCAAAGUCACAAGCUUUGUCCAGAAUCUAAUGGCGUAGAUUAUAGGCGAUGGGUGCCAUCACCUGGGCAACGACGUACAUCGCUUGGGCGACAAGCCAAUUUACUAGGCUCAUCGCAAACAGCCUUCGUCGCCUGGGCGAUGGCCAAAUCCAUCCAAUAAACUUUCAGCUCAUGUUUGAUAGCCUAAAAAAAGUAGUUAUGGUGACCAUCACACAUCACAUUUUACUGACAAGGUGUCUUAAUUUUCAUAGAAAAUUGUUCCUACUGAUUUUCCAAUCCUGGCCUAAUACUUGCAGAUUAUUAAACGAUUAUGGAAUGGCAGCAAACCGGCGCCGCGGAGGGGGGCCGGCCCGGGGUUGUUGUGCUGAUUUGGGAGGGGUAAUAAACCCUCUGAGGCAAUUUAGCAAACAUAUUAUGUGCCAUGAUUUUAGACCAGUAAUUUUGUCAAUAAUAGCUAAUUCGCAAUCCCAUUACAAAUCUAAUAAUCUAUUGCAUACACGCUCUUGAUGACUUGGAUUCUCAAAAAAUAAUCAUUUUACGCCGCUGAGGCGCAGAAAAAUCAAUUGUGUUGUCCCUUUAUACUUUUUCAUUUGUUUUGCCCACGUCCAAAUAAAACAGAUUCUGGUAAAUGUGAUAAGGAAAUGUUUGUUUCAAUUUCCAACCCAUAUCUCAUAAAGAAUUUCUCACUCAAAUAAAUAAAUAUUAUCCGGUAAUGGUAUGACAUUUAUUUUGAAGUAAACACCGGCACGCCAUUUUCUCAUUUUUUUCAUUUUUUGAGGACACCAUUUUCUCAAUUGAAGAAUAUAUUUUGGCCAAAAUUCACAAUGUUCUCCACAUGAUUUAAAGCACACAGAAUUCACACUUGUCUCCACAUGAUUUAAAAGCACAAGGAAUUCUCUUGACCUUAAUUACGAAUCUUUUUAUGUUUAUUGAAAUCCAAUAUUGUUGACUCAUUGGUGUAGCCAGAAAAUCAUAUUAAUAUAGUAGAAUUUAUAAAUAACCAAAGAAAAAAGUUCACGCUCUUACUUUAUUACUUUUAUAAUUUUAUUAGUACAUCUACUAACAUGUCUUCAUAAAAUAUAGUUUUAAGAGGAUAUUUUUAUGGUUGUAGAUAUUUUUAUUUUUCUUCUUAAUAAUAGAUUUAAUUUUCAUCUUUCUAAUGUUAAGUUGCACAUUUGGACUAAAUCAGAUUAAAUUUCAAAUUAGAUGACAGGCCUUAUUUUAAUAGAUUCAAUUGGAUUUUGGACAUCUAAUUAAACAACUGGAUUAAUAAAUUGCAAAUGAAUGAGAUUUAUAUGUGAUUUUAAAAUAAAAUUUGAACUUAAAUCUAUGUAUUCAAUUAAUCCAACAAGACAAAUUUAUAAUUUCUACCACCUAAAUAAAAUAUGUUAUCAGAAACUUUUGGACCAAGUAGGGGCAGUUCAUCACUUCGUCGGCCUGCUACUACUUAUACUCCUUUCUCAUUCAACUUUCACAUCUUUUAUAUUAUAUACAAACUAGAUUUGUCAUGCAAGUAUUUGACAGAAGAAAUCUCAUUGGAAAUCGGACAACUUCAAGAAAUUCAUUUAUUGAAUUUGUCACAUAAUUGCUUGUCGGUUUAUAAACCAAAAAGGUAUUCCAAAUUAAAAGUGGUAGAGAGCCUAGACUUUUCUUACAACAGAUUAAGUGGUAGAAUUCCUCCUUAAUAGACUGAGCUCAAUUUUUUGAUCUGUCUUCAAGACGUCAUACAACAACUUGUCCAACCUGAUACCAAACAAAGAGCAGUUUGCCACAUUCAAUGAAGGCAGUUAUGGAGGAAAUCUGCAUCUUUGUGGUCCAACAGUUAAUAAGAGUUGCAACAAUGCGGAGGAAAUACCAGCAAUAGAAUCCAAUCGAGGAGAAGAUGAAGAUGAAUGUGCAAUUGAUAUGGUGUCAUUCAGUUGGAGUUUCGGUUCAUCAUAUGUCACAUUCAUCAUGGGGUUUUUCGCGAUACUUUGGAUAAACUCAUACUGGCGCAGAAUGUGGAUCUAUUACAAUCAUGUAUUCACUAGGCCAUACGCGUGAUGUGCUUUUCUGCUAAAACUAGUUCACAAAUGUGAUUUCAUUAAAAUUAGUCUAUACACAUCUUUCCCUUGGCUUUUGUUGGCUCCAACUCCGGACUUUUAUUCAUAUCAUUACUUUAUGUAGUUUCCCCAAAAGGCUUGUGAUGAUUAAUGCAGUUUAUAAAUUAUUACUACUACAAUAAUGAUAUAAUAAAUAAUUUUUUUUAAGUUGUAAAAGUGAGAAAUACUAAAGAGAUCUUUAUUACAUCAUUAAUGUUCGAUCAAGAAUUUCCUCAUCCGAGCUUGCAGUCUGUGGAGGAGACUGUAUCAAUGUCGAAAUUCUCCGGACCGGCACUAUUUGCUGUUUCUCCAUUGAAUAGUGCGUCUUACUACAACAAGGUGAAACACAGCCCAGUGUUCUGAUUGGGCCCAAUGCGAAAAACAUAAAACCCAAAUUUUUGUUGACUUUGGGCCUGCUCAAAUACCAUGCCCAAUUGUGUCUAGUUGUAACAAAAGCGGCGAGAUGUUCAUGCCCAAACCCGCAAGAUUGUUUUAAUAUUUAAAAUUUAACAUGAUUCUAGAAUUUUUGUUAAUAAAAAAUAAACCACCAAGAUUCUAGUGAAUAACAAAUGUAUACAUAUACACGUGCUGUGUAGACCGGGCCAAUUCUUGUGGAAUUCUCCAACAACCAUCCUGAUUCUUGAAUUGCCGCGAAAAUUCCGCAAGCGAUGAACCCUCUCUUACGCACCACUCAUUCUCUAUCACAAUGAUCAAAAUAAAGACGAGGACGGAGACUAUUAAUCACUGAGAGUGAUUUUCUCAAUAUUUGUCAAUCACUACUAAGAUUCAUUGUCAAUCAAUAAUAUCAAUUGACACAAAGAUUGAUUGUCUUUUUUUUUUUUUCGAGAAUAUCAGUGCUUGAAUACAUUAUUUGAUAUAUAUAAUUCAAUGUAAACUCAAUCAUACUCUUAAAUUAUUUUUAUAAAUUCUCAAUAUCAGUCUUUGAUUUUAAUUCGAGUUUUGAUUCAAAUUAAUGCAAGGAUACAAAAGGACUCAAGAGCUUCAUAUAUCAAUUCUAUGUUAUUAACUUAUUAUUUCGGUGUACACCACAAAUUUAUGAGUAAUUUAUUAAAAUGUCUAAACAUAUAUGAAAAAUAGUUGAUUAUUGAUUUUCACAAAUUUCAAUAUAUCAAACAUCCUAUCGAGUUAUUAAUUCCAAAGCACAUUAUUUAAGAAUCAAUGCUAGAAUAAAUUAUUUGAUAAUUUCAAACCCAAAUUUACGCUUAAAUUCUUUAAAUUAUCUCAAUCAACUUUUUUUUUUCUUAGCUGACCAUCUAUAUCAGCUAUUGGAAAAAAAAAUAGAAUUGACGACUACUUGUAUGUUGGCCUAAUUUGAAAGUCAAUCAACAUUUAUUUUCCAUGUAAUGUUAAUGAAGCAUUUCCCUCAUUGGUCCAACAUUGCAACAUGUGGAAUUUCAGGCUUACAAUUCCUCAUUAGUCAUUACAGAUACCGAAAUUGAUUGUCAGACAAUAUUGUCAUUUCAAUAUAUGCCACAAUUUUAUGAGUAAUUUACUAAAAUCUUUAAAUAUAUAAAAUUUGCAUGUGUGUAAUAAACCUGUAUUUAUAUAUAAAAUUUGCAUAUUUAAAUUGCACCUCUCCAUGCAUCAUAUAAAAUGUCAUUUCAAUGUGAUCCACACUUUUAUGAGUUAAUAACUAAAUAUUGUCACUAAAUUUUUCCUAAUUGUUGCAUGCAUUAGAUUUUUUUACGAAAAAAAAAACAUGCUACAUUAAGUGUAAAACAAUUGAGGAAAAGAUUAGAGAACACAAUGAGAAAAGAAAUUUUUUAUACAACCUUUUCAUCAAUAAAAAUCAUAUUCAUACUAAUCAAUUCUUCAUUCCUCUUGGUAUUAACAGACUCUCACAUCCUACAAAAUCUAACCCUUAUCAUCCAACUAUCUUUAUCAUUAUUUAACUCAUGAAGAAAAGAGUACUCCAUGAAGCACACAAUACUAAAAAUUCAAAUAAGUCAAAAAUAAAAAUGCAAGAAUAUUUCUAAGGAGGAUGUUGGUUAAAUAAUAAAAAACCCAAACAUAACAAAUCUUAAAUACUUAAUGUUUAUAGACUUUGAAGAAGUCAAAAGACAUUAAACAAAAUGUUGCAUAAUUAAAUAUGGAAUUAUGACAUUAAAAUUAGGCCCUAAUGGCAUUGGUGAGUGAAGAUGAAGGAACCUUCCUUCCUAUAUUAAUUAGUUGAUGUAUUUUAAGUCACUAAAGUUUAGUUGUUGGCUUAAUAAAAUAAAUGAAUGUUUCAAGACUUAUAAUUAAUUAUUAUUAAUGGUUGCAUAUUAUUGAAUUUAAAUAGAAAGAGGAAGAGACAUGUAAUUUUUUGUAAUCUAAUAAUUAUUUUCUAUUUUGUAAUGUAAUUAUUUUUUAAUCUCAACCAAUAUAUUAGAUAAUAGAGAAUAUAAAAAGAUAAGAAAUAAUGAUGUCACAAAUCUUAAAUACUUAAUGUUUACAGAGUUUGAAGAAGCGAAAAUGCACUAAACAUAAGGUUGCAUAAUUAAAUAUAGGAUUAUGGUAUUAAAAUUAGGCUCUAAUGGCAUUGUUGAGGGAAGAUGAAAGAAACUUUCUUCCUAUAUUAAUUAAUUGAUGUAUUUUAAGCCACUAAAGUUUAAUUGUUGGCAUAAUAAAAUAAAUGAAUGUUUUAAGACUUAUAAUUAAUUAUUAUUAAUGGUUACAUAUUAUUGAAUUUAAAUAGAAAGAGGAAGAGACAUGUAAUCUUUUGUAAUCUAAUAUUUAUUUUCUAUUUUUAAUAUUUUGUAAUGUAAUUAUUUUUUAAUCUCAACCAAUAUAUUAGAUAAUAGAGAAUAUAAGAAUAUGAGAAAUAAUGAUGUCACAUCACCUCUUGUAGUCCCAACUCUCUCUCUCUCUCUCUCUCUCUCUCUCUCUCUCUCUCUCUAUAUAUAUAUAUAUAUAUAUAUAUAUAUAUAUAUACAUACAUAUUAUUUUCUAAAAAGUAUUUCUAAUUGUUUAACGUUUUAUUUAUGAGUAUUUUUAAGAGUUUAAAAAAUAUGGGAAACAGAAUCAAUUUUAUCAAAUAAAAAGAAUAUUGGUCAUUUUCUUCAUAAAGAAAGUGUUAAAAUACUUUUGGUAUUUAAGAAGUAACAAUUUUUUUUUUUGUUUCAUAAAAAAAGCAUUCAAAAUUAUAUUAAAUAAAAUUAAAGAUUAACAAAACUGACGUCUGAAUUUCGUGUAAAUUAUAAUAAGUUUAUCUCCAGCAUGAAUGACAUUAUAGCGUGGCUAGCAUCAUCAAAAUUCUGGUAACAUUCCAAGGUUGUCAAACUAAUCAUCUCAAAAUGUCAUUAUACUUGUAGCGUGCGGGCAUCAUCUUUACUUUCAGCAUCAAAAUUCUUUUAUUUAAUACACUUUUAUUUUAUACAAUUUUUAUCAUAUUAAAAUCCUUUGUAAUUUAAGCUCUCUCGGACUUUUAAAAAUGUUAUGCCACCCCUUCUUUAGCAGUAAUAGUAUAUGAUUAUGAUUUAAUUAUUUUAUUUUUUAAUUUAUCAAACACCAAUCACUUAAAUUUAACCUAAGAAAAAAUUAGAACAUCAGAUAAUUUUAAUUGAUUCUUAUUAAGUACUAGAAUUAACUGCUCCCAAUGAUAAUUUAUUAAGCAAACCAUAGUGAUCAUCUUACACUAAAGAACCAACCCAUCUUCAAAACACAAGAAUUUAGUACAAAUAAUUAUCCCAAUAAAGUUUAACGAAAAAGGAAAGAGAUAUUUUUAUUAUUUCUUUUCCUUUCUUUCAUUUCAAUUUCUUGCCUCCUGAGCUCUUCUAAAAGCCAACCAAACCACUUAUUUAAAAAAAAAAAAAAGGAACCAGACAAAGCGCAAGAAAAAAAAUUAAAAAAUUCGCAGUCUACACACAUCCCAGCACCGUAUGCGUCCAAUAAUUCAUCUCCAAUAAUUGCCCCUAUAUGACCACCGGUUUGUACUUGCAUAUAUGUGAAACAGGAUAAAAUCACAAUGUGUCAUUUAAUUAGCAGAGGUAACAAGAUCCUACAGAAAAGGGUUUACAGGAAAAGAAAGGAAAAAAAAUUGUUACAACAUACAGAAACCCAAAUAUUCUACUGGCUAACCCCCAUUAAAAUUCGAAACCAUUCUUAAAUCUCAGCUUAUACUACUUCAUCAUUCCUUCUGUGUACCCCCAACUGAAUUUCUGGCAGAAAUCACAUUUCUUCGUUAGCCUCAACUCAUGCAUCUUUUACUUUUAAUCAAACAUACUUUUUUAUCUGCUGGGCUUUUUAACAAAGAAUAAUUUUCCUUAGAUCUUUUCUAAUAGACAAGAAAGCACAAAGCACAAAUAUCUAGGAAUGUUUUUGCCCUUCAUCAUAGCACUUGCAAAGGCUCCAGGGUAUAGAAGAACCUUGGCUACAAAUUCCUGGGAAGACUUCACUUAUAAUCAACUGGAAGGAUGUCACCUCUACGGGCGUUGUACAUUUUCCACUUCUACGUGGUAUCCUGCAGAAACAAACAAUAAAACACGUGUUAUACAAGUAUUUUUUAAGUAUGAAAUACAUCAAAAGCAUUUAUGAUGCCAUUAAGUUUAGUCAAUACAAUCUCUCAAGGCAGGACAAGAGAUUUGAGAUUCAAACUCCACCUACGUAGGAAAGGAAUGUCAAAAAGAAAUGCGGUUGGGAUAGGUUAUUACGUUUUAUUCUUUUUAUUACUAGAAUUGAAUAAUGCUGCCUUUGACAGUAAAAUAAACGUCAAGUGAUAAUUGAAUUAUAAAAAAGUGAGGUAAAUGGUGAGAAAUAAUCACCAUUAUAAUUUAUAAUAUAAAAUGAGGAAAUAAUUAUGGAAGAAAUGGAAAGAAUUACCUGAAAAGAGGGAUUUGGAAGACAAUGAGACAAAAAUAUAAGGAAGAAGAAAUCGAAGAUAUAAUGCCUGCCCAUUUCUUUGACGAACCUGUAAAAUGUCGUGAUUGAGGGAAUUAAACCGUAUGACGUUUAUGAAAUACUAACUAGGCAACCCAAGAGGGGGGUGAAUUGGGAUUUUAAAAAUUAUCCUAGGCAAACCACACAACAAUUUAAUCUAAUGCCUUAAUAAAUUCGAAAACAAUAAAUUCAAUAAAAGCACAAUAAUAAAUGAGUAAGGGAAGAGAAAGCAAACCCAAGGAUUUUUACGUGGUUCGGCAAUCCCCGCCUACGUCCACGCCUCCAAGCACACCGGGCUUGAGGAUUUUACUAAGCUAGCCUCCCAAGGCUUCAAACGCUUACAAUUGACUUCCAAGGUGUCAAUGGACCUUUACAACAAGAGAUUAUCCCCAAUCUCUUAACCCAAGUGUAUCCCAACACUUACAAUCUUUUAACUUGAUUUUACAAAAAAGAUUACAAAUGAAUCUCUCUCACACAAUGUGUUUGAUCACAAGUGAAAGCUCAAUGUGUGAAUGAAUGAGAUGAAUACAAAGAUUUAAAGCUCAAUGAAAGUUGUAUUCUCAAUAUUUUGCUCAAUGAUGAUCGUUGGAAUUCUUCUUGUUUGAAUUGGAUUGAGAUUAUUUAUAGUUGGAGCUGAAAAACUAGCCGUUAUAGACUGUCUGCUAGAAAACGGUUCGCCGUUAACCAUUAACGGUUAACCGUUUAGGCCGGUCAAAGUUACCGUUGGGCCAAUUUUCAAAUAAACGGUUAGCCGUUUAUUCUUACCCUUUCGCCGUUAAUUUCCAGAGACCUGCAAAACAAAUUUGGUUUAACCGUUCUUAUUAAACGGUUCAAGGUUAACAAUCUGGAAAUAAUCGGUUAACCGUUUUCAGUAAACGGUUCACCGUUAGUUUCCAGAAUCAUCAUUUUAAUAAUACUUUACAGAACAUGCUUUCUGGAAAUUAUCGGUUAGCCGUUUUAAAUAAACGGUUAGCCGUUUGCUACAGUGAUUGCUACAGUGAAAAUAUUUUCUAAAUUUAUAAUUUAACCCCAAAACUUUAUAAAACUUUAUUACGGCCCAAAACGUUAUGAAACUUUGCACAUAGGUCCAAUUUCAGAAUUUCUAAAUAAUACUUUGUUAAUCCCAAAACUUUUUGAAAUUAUGGUAUAGCCCAAAAUGUUAUGAUACUUUUCAAAUAAGUCCUUUACCAAGAUUUCAAGCAAUACUUGUUUAUUUCAAAGUUUUCAAAAUUCUUUCAAUUAAACCAUAAACUUUGAAAAACAACCAAUUUCAUAAAAUCAUUUUUCCAUUAAAUAUGAAACAUUUAUAAUGUGAAAAUAAUGAUUUAUUUAAAAAGAAUAAAAACAAUCAAUUUCAUAAAAUUAUUUUUCCAUUAAAUAUAAAACAUUUAUAAUGUGAAAAUAAUGAUUUAUUUAAAAAGAAUAUUAAAUAAUUUGAGCUUAAAAGAUUAAUCAUUCUUAAUCUUAUUUGUUAUCAUCAAAAUCAAUAUUAUGAAAAUAUAUAUGUUAACAGUUUACUUUGGCGGCCCCCAGUCUUGUCAAUCAGAGAAUAUGUUUUGGCCGAAAUUCACAAUUCUUACCACGUGAUUUAAUUAAAGCACACAGAAUUCGUAAUUUUCUCCAGACAAUUUAAAUUAAACCCGCACUCUUUAUGGACUCCACUUUUAAGAAGGAUAUUGCCCACCGAGCAAACUAACCAAAACUCUUUUCCCUUCUGCGUUCAUUCUCCAACUCGUUGUCACUUUGUUUUGCUCUUCCUCUCUAUAUGAUUUUUAAGAACUAUUAAAUGUUUGUUUGUUUCUUAAAAAAAAUGUUUGUUUUUUUUUGUAUUAGAUGAUUAUAAAUAUUUAUUUAAUUUUAUAUUUUUUUAAAUUUUUUAUUAUUGUUUCAUUAUUUUUUAGUAAAUUUUUAAAAAUUAAAUAAAUUAUUUUUAUUUCUGUUAAUAAAAAUUUAAACUUUAAAUUUUUGAGGGAUGAGAUUUAUUUUUUUUAAAUAUUAAAAUACUUAAAAUAUCUUUUAUUUAUGUAAUAAUUUUAUUUUAUUUUUUUGUUAAAUAAUUUUAAAAAAAAUUAUUUAUUAAAAUAAUUUUAUAAUUUUUAAUAAAAACUCUUAUUAUCAAUUAAAUAACUAAAAUUAUUUUCAUAAAAACUUUUAUAAUAAAAAUCCUACCACACCGCAGAGUCUGCACUUACCUGCGCGUACUGUUUAAAACCCCUCACCGGCUCUGCUCUCGCCACCAAUAUUAAGAAAGAUACUUUGUUGUGGUGGCAUUUUGGUAAAAAAUAUGGGCCCCCAAAAUAAUCAUAAUAAUUAAGGAUUUAGCUAUGUGGCAACGGGUACACCAUACACUUUUUUUUUUUUUUUUUUUGUGCUGCCACAGUUAGAUCCAACACAAAAGUAGUAUUAAGAGCAAGAUGUGUUUGUUUGUUUAUUAACAAUGCAAUCCCUAAUAUUUGUCAAAAAUUUUAAAAAGUUAAAGUUUAUAAAAUUUUGUGCCAAUAUUUUUUUCCCAAAUUCUCUUAGCACAAUUAAUUGUGUUAUGGUAUCCACUUUUGCAGGUUAUAAUCAAGAGAUCAGACAUGAUAGAUACAUAAAAAAUAAUAUAAAAUAAAAAAAUUUUGAAUUUUUGUUAAAGCUCUCAUUUCUAAUAAUUUGUUAAAAUAUUCUUUUACCUAAGAAAACAAACUCAUUGACAUAAUAAAAAGAGUUUUACUGAUAAAAUAAUAAUUAUUCAAUUAUUAGAAGUGCUACAGUUAGAUUUUUUUAAGUUGAAAAUGUAGAGAAGCAUGGAGGAGAAGAGGAGAAGAAGACACAUAAUAAAACAUAAAAAUUUUCAAUUUAUUUAUACCUGAAUUCCAUUGUAUGAUGAAUAGAUUGUAGGUACAAAAAUAUAUUUAUGUGAUUUUCUUUUAUAUAAAAAGUUCAAUUCAUUAUUGCUUAUAUGAUAUAGAGCAAAUUAAUCUUAAGGUAAUGAGAAAGUAGCUUCAAUGAGAAUGCCAAGCUUCUCUUAUUGAUUGUAAUUGAUUGAUUACAUAUUUAAUUAAAAAAAUUCAAAAGGACGUAGAGGUGAGGGUUUUGAAGAAAGAGAAAAAAGAAAUUACUUCAAUAAUUUGUAAAUACAGAAGAGAUUAGGGGGUCAAAAAAUACAAAAAGUAGGGUAUGGUGGACCCAUUGUACCGUAGCUCAACUCAAGCCAAUAAAUUAAUUGUUUUAUCCUAUAAAUAAAAAUUAAUGUUGUGUAUUUGCCUAUAACUUGAGGAGGUAAUAAAAGUCUUUCGUUAUACUCUACUGUUAGUUUCUCGCCUUUUAUUCCUCUGAAAUCUUUCAACAAAAAUGGGUGGCGUCAUCUCAACCUUCUUAUCAGCGGACACAAUUCGUCCAAUUUUAUCUUACGUUGGUGGAGAAGCUAAGUAUAUAUGGGGUCUAAAAGAUAAUCUUGAUGACUUGCAGACUCAGAAGGAGAAGUUGAUUGAGAAAAAAGAAGAUAUGCUGAAUGAGGUUGAGCUUGCUGAACAACGACCCCGAACCAGACGGACGAGAUCGGUGCAACGCUGGUUUGAAAGAGUGGAUCGAAGGGUAACUGAAGUUGAGAGGCUGCAACAAGAAAGAGAUCAAGAGAUUGACAGAUUGUGCCUUGGAGGCUUCUGUUCCAAGAACUUGAUCUCAAGCUACAGCUUCGGGAAAAGAGUGGAGAAGAUGAAGAACGAAGUGAUCGAAUUGAAGAAAGGAGGAGAAGCAAUCAAUCCACUUUAUGAGGAGGUACCAGAAGGUGCAGCGGUUGCAAUAGCUGUUGACCGAACAAUUGUCGGUCAAGAAUCAAUACUAGACCGAGUUUGGAGAUGCAUCACCGAUCAAGAACAGAAUAAGGGAAUUAUUGGCUUAUAUGGUAUGGGGGGCGUCGGCAAAACUACUCUGUUAAAGCAAGUCAAUAACAAAUUCUGCAGUGAUGAACAGCAUCAUUUUGGUGUCGUUAUCUGGUCGGUUGUGUCGAGAGAGCCAAACUUGAAGCAGAUUCAAGUGGAUAUUGGAAAAAGGAUAGGCUUCUCAACAGAUUCAUGGCAGAGAAAAAGUUUUGAAGAAAGGGCUUCAGACAUCACCAACGCUUUAAAGCAUAAGAAGUUUGUAUUGUUAUUGGAUGAUAUAUGGGAGUCCAAAAUUGAUUUAACCGAAUUGGGCGUCCCUCUUCAAAGAUUAGAUUCUGGGUCCAGAAUAGUUUUCACAACUCGUUUUCGUGGUACUUGUGGUGAAAUGGGAGCUGACGAGCGGUUCGAAGUGUCCUGUUUGGGAGAUGACGAUGCCUGGAAAUUUUUUGAGGGGGUGGUUGGGAGAUACGUUCUCGACAAGCAUCCCGACAUUCCGGAGCUAGCCAAAGCUAUGGCAAGGCAGUGUCAUGGUUUGCCGCUAGCACUCAAAACAGUAGGUAAUGCCAUGGCGAGCAAAGAGUACCCUCAAGAAUGGAGUCACGCCAUUGAGAUCAUAAGCAGAUCAGCUUCUAAAUUCAAAGAUAUGGAAAAACAGGUGCUUUCGCGUUUGAAGUUCAGCUAUGAUAGUUUGCCCACUGACGAACUUCGUUCUUGUCUCUUGUACUGUUGUUUAUUUCCGGAAGACUCUGAAAUUCCAAAAACCGACUUGAUGGAGUAUUGGAAAAGUGAAGGAUUUGUGGAUUCUAGCAGCGGGUGGGGGGUUCUUGGUGCUCUCCUUCGUGCAUGCUUAUUGGAGGAAGCAGGCUUAGUGGACGAAGGAGGUAAUCGUGUAAAAAUGCACGAUAUGAUUCGUGACAUGGCAUUAUGGAUAGCAAAUGAAAUAGAGGAGGAGGAGGAGAACUUCUUGAUUCGUGCAGGAGUUGGAUUAACUGACGCCCCAAAGAUUGAAGAAUGGGAAGGGGUCAAAAGGAUAUCCUUGAUGGAGAACAAAAUUCAAAGUCUACCACAAAUUCCCACUUGUCCGCGUCUCCAGACUUUGCUUCUAAAUCGAAAUCAUAUUGCGAAGAUCACUGACAGUUUCUUUCAAUCUUUGCCUUCGCUUAGAGUUUUGAAUCUAAGUGGAAAUCAUUACCUAACUGAACUACCUGUAGGAAUUUCAAGUUUGGUUUCAUUACACCAUCUUGAUCUGUCUUAUACUCCCCUAACUGAACUUCCUGUAGGGAUUUCAAGUUUGGUUUCAUUACACCAUCUUGAUCUGUCUUCUACUGAAGUACGUGGGUUGCCGCAAGAGCUCAAGGCAUUGGUGAAUCUGAGAUAUUUGAACUUGGAGUAUACACGUAAAAUGUCUAGAAUUCCAGAGCAAUUGAUAUCAAGCUUUCCAAAGUUACAGGUGCUCAGGAUGCUGAGUUGCGGUUCUGAGAUAUUUCCAAUAGUGGAAGAAGGCAACGUUCUAUCCGAUGGUGCUGAACCAUUGAUUAAGGAAAUCCACUGUUUGGAACAAUUAAAUCUCAUCACCUUGUCCUUACGUGGUACGCGUGGUGUUGAAAACUUUUUGAAAUUCCCAAAGCUGCAGAAUAUCACUCAAGCUCUGUCCAUCGAACACUGCAACAGUCUACCGCUCAAUUUGUUGCAUCUAUCAAACAUGGAGCAUCUUGAGAAGCUACACAUCGAGGAAAGUAAUUUGGAAGACUGGAAUGUCGACUGCGCAGGCGAGGUACAAAAAAUGCGUAAACUUCACUUUGUUACAAUAUACGAAUGCUCAAAUGUGAAGGACUUUACGUGGCUUGUUUUUGUUCCAAAUCUCAAGUGGCUACGAAUAUGUUAUUGUGAUGACAUGGAAGAAAUAAUCAGUGUUGAAAAAUUGAGUGAAGUUUCGGAGAUGAUGGGAGAGCUUAACUUGUUCUCAGAACUCGAACUUCUGGUAAUAAGAAAUGCAAGUAAUUUGGAGCGCAUCUACCGCGUUCCCUUGCCCUUUCCACAGCUGAAGGUAAUUGACAUAUCGGAAUGCCCAAAGUUGAAGAAGCUCCCGCUCAAUUCCAGCAGCGCAAAGGGACGUAAAAUUGUCAUUUACGGGGAGAAAGAAUGGUGGGAAGAGCUACAAUGGGAGGAUCAAGCCACUCAAAAUGCUUUCUCUCCCUGUUUCCUACCUGAUGAAUAAUAAAGUGCAAUAAGGCGCAAAAGUGUGAAUAAAAUUUCUGCGUGUGCUUAAUGUUAGGCACUAUUAUUCAGGCUUAAAUAAUAACAAUAAAAUACUACACCGUGUCUGCUUUCUUUUACUUUUCUUGGUUCUGUUGUAAAAUUCAGUUCUAUUUGAAGGAAAUUAUUAACAUCAAAACUAAAUACUUCGUGAGCAUCUACUGACAACAUACUCCAGAUGACACCAUAACCAUAUCAUAUAAAGCAAGAAAUGUGAAAUAAAUACAAAAUGAAUCACAGGAGGAAAUCACCACACUCUGCGGUCUCUCCUGCUAAACCCUGCAGUUAGAAUGCCAUUUGUCGUGAGCACCUGAAUCCCCAAAGGACUCCCAGCUUCAAGUGGCUUUGACUUAGCUUGCUUUAGCUCCAUUGCACAUACUCACUCACAUGGAGGAAAUGAACAGAACAAGAAACCUCAUCAAGCCGAAUAUGAUAGAUAUGACAAGGCAUUACACUGUAGGAAGCUCCCGAUUUCUCUAAAAAACUUUGCAGGUUCUCCGCAAUCAAGGCGUGCUCCAUCUUUAACAGAUCACUUCUACCAUUAAGAGAAGGGAGAGAGUUCCUCUCGUGUGACAGUAAAUCCUUACUUAACACAGGAUUGGAGCCAACCAAGAAGGGAAGGCAAUUUCGUUAGAUUAAGAACCGAAUCACCAUCCAAAAUAGUAGCAUUUGAACCAGAACUCUUGUUAAAUUCUUGAAAUCUCCUGCUUUCAUCAGUCUGUAAGAGAAAUGAAGAUGAGAAUAAUAGCCAGAACCGGAUUAAAUUCAAUCUGGUCUUUUGAAGACUUCUAUAACAACUAAGAGAACCCAGUGUACCGCCUACAGAUACUGUCAGGCUUCUAUCAAAUAUCCCAAACACCAAAAACAAACCAAAUUAAGCUAACAAACCUGCAUGAAUAUCUAAAUUUCAAUGCACAUGAAACAAACUCCGUCUUCAAUCCACCAAAACUAGCAAAUUUCAAACUUUAUCCCUCAUCACUCUCUCUCUGUCAGCUGUAUGAGGCUACGAGAUCAUGUUAUAAUGUUCAUAUUGAUGCUGAAUGUUUUGCCAGCUUGUCUGAAUUCCAUAAGAGAAUGCAAUUUGCACAUUAUUGUGCCUUGCCCACCAUUAGAUUCUAAACCACAAAAUCAUUGUGUGAGUAGCUGACGUUUCGCACAUUCUUAUCCCUUAUCAUCAAUAUUCUUCUCCUCAAGCUUAGAUCAUGGAAAUUUGAGUGACAAACAUGAUAACAUGGUAACACCAUCUAAACUUUAGGGGCAUAAAGUAACAUAGAAGCAACAUGGGAUGUUUUAAAAUCUAUUAUAAUUUGCUUAGGCCCCUGAAUAAAAUUAAAACUUGAAAUGAAAUAAAGUAGCAAAAUAAAGAUUGGAGGUCGCAUGCUUGAUAUUUGAUGCUGUCAAAAUUAAUUUGCAGUGCUGAAAUUGCUGCUCCAAUAAAUUUUUCAAUGGGAUUUCUAUAUUUACAACAAAUUUUCAGUAUUGAAACAGGAUUAAAAUCAUAAAGUGUCUUUUAAACAGCAGAGGCAACAAGAUCCUACAGAAAAAGAAGGCAAAAAGUAGUUACAAGCUACAGAAACGCAAAUAUUCUACUGGCCCACUCCCACUAAAUUCGAAGCGAUUCUAAAAUCUCAGCUUGUACUACUACAUCAUUCCUUCUAUGUGGCCCAACUGUACUUCACCCAGAAAUCACAUUUCUUCAUCAGAGAUAAUUUUACUUCUAAUCAGAGAUUAUUUUUUAUAUGCAUGGCUUUACAGUAAUGAAUAAUUUUCCUUAAAUCUUUUCUAACAGACAAGAAAGCACAAAGCACAAAAAUUCAUAUAAACAACUUUUCUCGAAGCUUUUUCAUAAGAAAACCUGAACAUGAUUGCUUCUCUUAGAAGGCCCCCUAGCUUCCUGCAAGAACCUGGUGUUCCAAAAAAAAAUGAUUAUAAUUAGGCAUAAGGUCCUAAUGUUCUUGCAGGAAUUAUGAUGAAUAUCAGGGUUUCAAAAAAAAAAAAAUUAAGACAACGAUUACGGAUUUAAAGCACACAGAAUUUACACUUUUCUCCAUGUGAUUUAAAAGCACACAGAAUUCUCCUGACCUUAAUUGAAAUCCAAUAUUGUAGACUCAUUGUUGUAGCUAGAAAAUCAUAUUAAUAGAGUAAAAUUUAUAAAUAAUCAAAGAAAAGAGUUCACGCUCUUACUUCAUUACUUUUAUAAUCUUAUUAGUAUAUCAACUUACAUGUCUUCAGAAAAUACAGUUUUAAGGGGAUAUUUUUAUGGUUGUAGAUAUUUUUAUUUUUCUUCUUAAUAAUAGAUUUAAUUUUCAUAUUUCUAAUGUUAAGUUGCAGAUUUGGACUAAAUCAGAUUAAAUUUCAAAUUAGAUCACCGACCUUAUUUUAAUAGGUUCAAUUGGAUUUUGGACAUCUAAUUAAACAACUGGAAUAAUAAAUUGCAAAUGAAUGAGAUUUAUAUGUGAUUUUAAAAUAAAAUUUGAACUCAAAUCUAUGUAUUCAAUUAAUCCAACAGGACAAAUUUAUAAUUUCCACCAACUAAAUAAAAUAUGUUAUCAGAAACUUUUGGAUCAAGUCGGGGCAGUGUAUUACUUCGUGGGUCUGCUACUACUUAUAGUCCAUUCUCAUUUCAACUUUCACAUCUUUUAUAUUAUGUACAAAUUGGAUUAUAUUCUAAAAAAGUGUUUCUAAUUGUUUAACGUUUUAUUUCUGGGUAUAUUUAGAGAUUAAAAAAUAUGGGAAACAUAAUCAAUUUUAUCAAAUAAAAAGGAGUAUUGUUCAUUUUUUCAUAAACAAUGUGUUAAAAUACUUUUGGUUUUUAAGAAGUAACAAUUUUUAUUUUCAUAAAAUAGCAUUCAAAAUUAUAUUAAAUAAAAUUAAAGAUUAACAAAACUGACAUCUGAAUUUCGUGUAAAUUAUAAUAAGUUUGUCUCCAGCAUGAGUAACAUUAAAGCUUGGCUAGCAUCAUCAUAUUUUAUCUCCAGCAUCAAAAUUCUGAUAACAUCAACAUCAUAAUUCCAAGGUUGUCAAACUAAUCAUCUCAAAAUGUCAUUAUACUUAUAGCGUGCUGGCAUUAUCUUUACUUUCUGCAUCAAAAUUCUUUUAUUUAAUACACUUUUAUUUCAUACAAUUUUUUAUCAAAUUAAGAUCCUUUGUGAUCUAAACUCUCUUGAACUUUUAAAAAUCUUAUGCCACCUCUUCUUUAGUAAUAGUAAUAGUAAUAAUAUGAUUAUGAUUUAAUUAUUUUAUUUUUUAAUUUAUCAAACACCAAUCACUUAAAUUUAACUCAAGAAAAAAUUAGAACAUCAAAGAAUUUUAAUUGCUUCUUAUUAAGUACUAGAAUUAACUUCUCCCAAUGAUAAUUUAUUAAGCAGACCAUAAUGAUCAUCUUACGCUAAAGAACCAACCCAUCUUCAAAACACAAGAAUUUAGUACAAAUAAUUAUCCCAAUAAAGUUUAACGAAAAAGCAAAGAGAUAUUUUUAUUAUUUCUUUUACUUUCCUAGUGGCUCUGCUACUACCUAUAGGCUAUAGUCCAUUCUUAUUCAACAUUCAGAUCUUUUAUAUUAUAUGCAAAUUAAAAUAUAUUCUAAAAAGUGUAUCCAACUGGUUAACAUAUUAUUUCUAGAUAAUAAUCAAUUUUAUCAAAUAAAAAAGAGUUUUUGGUCAUUCAUUUGGCUCCGUUGCCACUUGUACGUUACAAAAGCUUUUGUCUAUGCUGACUCAGUUACUGUAAAAUGUCGUUCAGCCCCUUAUACUCUAUGUUAUUUAUAAUUUAUUUAUAAGAAUUAUGAAAAUUUCUACUUACCUACACUAUCAAAAUUCAAUUUAUCUCCUCACAAUCUUUUUCAUUUACUAUUUUUUUCUAAGUAUUAAAAGAGUUCUAUUUACAACCACGACAUAUUAAUCAUCAUAACACACAAAUAUUAAUAAAAAGAUAAAAAUAUCCUUAAAUUAAUACUAAAAAUGCUUUCCUCUCUUCUUUAUAAUAUCAUAUUAUAAUAAUUAAUACUUUCAUGAUAAAAGAAUUAAAAAAAUAAAAAUAAAUUCCCUUUGAAUCCAUCCCUCUCUAAUAUCAUUUUCUCUUCAUUAGGAACAUUUAUCGACAAUUGAAGCCACCAUCAGACUCAUCACACAGAGAGAGUGAGAGAGGGGAAGAAGAAACAGAGAAAAAAUAUAUGAGACAUUUACAAUUUUAUAGUGUGUUUAUUCAACGGGAUUUAUAUAUAGUUGCUAAGGGGUUUCAUCAGACACAAGGAGUUGAUUACACUGAAACUUUUAGUCUAGUAGUUAAGGCUUCAACAGUCAAAGUUAUUCUUAGCCUAACAGUACUUAACAAGUGAAUAAGCAGACAAGUGGAUGUUAAUAAUGUCUUCCCCUAGCAGUACUUAACAAAUGAAUAAUCAGACAAGUGGAUGUUAACAAUGCCUUCCUUAAUGGCAUUUCAGUUGAAGAAGUUUACAUGGCACAACCUGAGGGGUUUGUGGAUCCUACUAAACCCCAACACAUCUGCAAAUUAAAAAGGACUAUAUAUGGCUUGAAGCAAGCUCCCAGGCUUGGUUUGACAAAUUCAAAGCUGCAAUGAUUACUCAAUGGCAUUUUCAACACUCAAAAUCAGAUAAGUCUCUCUUCUAUAAAUGGAUCAAUGGUCAUGUAAUUCUAGUUCUGGUUUAUGUUGAUGAUAUCAUACUCACUGGUUCAAAUUCUUACUUAAUUCAGCCAGUCAUUCAAGACAUGCAUCACACCUUUGCUUUAAAAGACUUGGGAGCUCUUAACUAUUCUCUAAGAAUUGAAGUGGUUAAAUUAGCAAAUGGCAUUUAUCUGUCUCAAGCAAAAUAUAUUGCUAAUAUAUUGGCAAACAUGAUAUGGUUCACUGCAGUCCAUUACAUAUUCCUAUGUCUACCAGUCACUACCUCACAAAAGAUUCAAGUGACAUUAUUGCAAAUGUGUCUCAGUACAGAAGUAUCUUAGGUGCAUUGCAAUAUGUUACUCUUACAAGGCUUGACAUAACAUAUAUAGUUAAUAAACUAAGUUAGUUUUUAUUUAGUCCUCGAACACAACAUUGGGAGGCUCGCAAAAGGUUGCUAAGGUACUUAAAAAGAAUUUUACAUCUUCGAUUGCAUUAUUACACAAAUGGAGCUAUGCAGAUACAUUAUUUCAUAGAUUCUAAUUGGGCAUGUGAUAGGGAUGACAGGAAAUCACUUGCUAGUUUUGCAGUCUAUCUAGGUCCCAAUUUAGUCUCAUGGUCAUCCAAGAAACAAGCAGUGGUAUCAAGGUCAAGUAUAGAAGCAGAAUAUAGAGCAUUAGCUCAUGCUACUUCAGAGGUCAUGUGGAUACAAUCUCUUCUUAGUGAGUUGCAAAUUAAACUUAGCACCACUCCCAUAAUAUGGUGUGAUAAUCAAGAAGCUAUUGCCUUAGCAUACAAUCCAUUUUAUUAUGCCAAAACCAAACAUGUUGAGCUAGAUAUACACUUCAUUCGAGACAAAGUUGUAGCUAAGAGCAUUGAGGUUAGUUAUGUGCCCAGUGAAGGUCAACCAACUGAUGUAUUAACCAAAGCUCUCACUUUUAAGCAGUUUCAUUGCUUGUGAAGCAAGCUGAAUGUCUAUCCUGGACAUUUUAGCUUGAGGAGGGAUGUUAGUGAUAUUGAAUUUCAAGCAAAGCAGAGCACAAAAUCAUUAUAUGACUGACCACAACUGAUUCACUCAUUAAGCUAACUUGGCAAGUUAGUUAUACAGCUCACCUCACAUGUAUCAAAUUUCGCGUGUGUAUAACAGAUUGUAUGAAUCAUUUAGCUUGCUAUAUAAAUAUGUAAUGUGUACUCAGUUUUCAAUUAGUUAAUUACAAAGGAAUCUUAUAUUUGCUUCUAUACAAAUUCUCUUUACUUUUCUUUCAUUUUCUUGCCAAACAACACUUUCUUUAGAAUUCUUUCAUGAAAGGCAAUGAGACAAAAAUGUAAAGAAGAAGAAAUUGAAGAUAGGGUAGGGCUAUUGGCUCUCUAAAAUUUAUUUUGGACAUUGAUGUGAUCUUUAAAAAAAAAUUACAUAAUUUUAUUCUUAGGUUAUGUUUAUCUCUUUGAGUUGUUAUCAUAGUUCAUUUUGAUUAAAUAAAAGUAGUUGUUGUAUUAACAUAAUUCUAAUGAACAUAGGUUUUAUUGUGCUUUUAAUCUUUAGGUCCAACUUCUGUAAGAUAGUAUUUAAACCAGCAUCAAUGUCAAUAAUAGCAGGCUGAAAUGUUUCUUUUGGAGACUGAAUAGUUGUAUUGGGAGAUAUGUCCCUCAAAGUACCAAAAACAUAUUUAUUAAAGCUUAGUUUCCUUGAAUUUGCCCAUUUAUCACUUGUUCUUUUUAUUUUGUUUGAUUUCCUGUUGUAAUAAUUUGUGUCUGUAAGACUAUAACAGACACUCACAUUUUAAUAGUUCUUUAUAUCACUAAAUUAACCUUAAUGUAAAAUUAACCGUAAUGUAAUUUACUAUUAAGGACAAUUUAAUAAAAUAUAGUUCAAUAAAUUUUUAUCCAACAUCUUAUUUUAUCUACAAUAAACUAGAUAAACAAUGAAGAAAUGAAUAAAAGUUCACGUGAAAACGAUGUCUAUACUUAUGGGCUAAACCUUUUUUUUUCAGUUUUUUUGUUAAUAGAAUUGUUAGGAAAACAUCAUGUAACACGUUCCAUCUUUUGUAACAAAAGGAAUUAAAAACAGAGGUGGAGGAAGAACAAUAAAUUGCACCACUACAACAUAUGAAAAACGAAAGAAAUCAAAGGAUAAAAUCUGUUUCAAAUUUGUUUUCUGAUCUUCACUCAAUCUAAUCUGCAUGCUUUCAUGGAUUUGAAAAACAAAAUUGAAUUGCGACAUUAAAGAGAAGAACAAACAUAUGUCAAACCAUAUUAUGAAAGCAAAAUAAAAGUUGAUAAAAAAUGAAAAAAAGUUCAAACAUUUUGUUUGUGAUGAUGAAUAUUUUAUUAGAUGUAAAGAGGAAAUAAGAUAAUUAAAGAAAUGGGUAAUGAGAACAAUAAAGGAAGUCGAAAAAUAUUUCAAAUACAAAUUAAUAUUUUGAAAUUAUUAAUUGAGUGUUCAAAAUAAAUUUUAGAAUGUAAGAAGUGCAUCGCUGCCCAUUUCUUUGAUGAACCCAGUAGAAACAGCUUUAAAAUUAUAGAAACUGUAAAACGCUGUAAAAGUGAAAACUUUAAAAAGCUUGCUCUAGUAUUUAAACCUUUAAUAGUGCAAAGUCACAAGUCUUGCAGCUAGUUGAUAUAUCCCCAAGCUAAAAACAUGUGUUGUAUACUCAUUUUUUAUAGUGAUACUAGAACUAUUAUUAUCUUAUGUCUAUGUACGUAUGUUUACAAUUUAUUUCAUAAAUUUACUGAGACAAGUGCCGAAAUUUAUGGCGAAGUACGUCCAAUCUAUUGUCACUAAGGCCCUAUUUGGUAUUUAGAUAAUGUAGUUUUUGUGAAAAAAAAUAAUGUAAUUAAGAAAUAAAAAUUAAUAAUAUAUAGUAAUAUGACUUGUAAAUAAUAAUUUGAAAAAAAUAAUAAAGAAUUAUAAGUUUUUUCAAAAUAAAAGUGGUGGAUCAAAUUAAUUUAGCUUUCAAGUCAUAGCAAGUAGUGUUUAUCAAAUAUAAAAAGUUAUAAUUAUCCAAUCUCAAUCAGAACCUGAGCAUUUUUAGCAAAAACAAUACUUUUAUUCUAUAUUUUACAAAUAUCUUCACCAUUAUUCAGAGCACCAACCCUUAACUUUUUUCGAUUAUGUUUGGUAUAACUUUUUAAGCAGAACUUUUACUAAAAAAAAUAAUUGUUUGAUUGUCAAUGAGAUUUUUUAUUAAAAUUUCUAGAAUUACUUUAAUAGGCAAAUUUCUUAAAGUUAUGUUAUGAAAUGAAUAAAAUAAAAUUGUGAAAUAUAUAAAGCAUAUUUUAGACAAUAUAAUAUUUUUAAAAAAUUUUAACCUCUACUCCACAAAAUUUAAAAUUUAAACUUUUAUUAGUACAAAUAAAAUAAUUUAUUUAAUUUUUUAAAAAUUUUACUCAAAUUAUAAUUAAAUAAUAUUAAGUCUUAAAAAAAAGUUAUAAGAUUAAAUAAAUAUAUUUGACUGAACAUACACUAACUUGAACUCUUGAAAAAUAAAUAUUUUGCGCCACAUAAGUAGGGUCCAAUUAUGUUGCAACUGAUGUAUUAUACCAGAGUUCCUCUUUUUUUCCCCGUAUUAUUGGAUAAUUGAUGCAAAUUAAGCAAAGUUGUUGGGUGCUUCUCGUUCAAUCUAGCAGUUGAAAUUAAUUAUUGGAUAAUUGAUGCAGCGACUAGCAACCGUUGCAGCCGGUUGUAUAUUAAUUUAAUAGCAGUUCAGCGAGCGUGGGUUUCGAAAAUUUGUUAGUGCUGAUUAGAGUCUCACUGAUUUCAUCUGAAAAUUGAUCUCGAGACAUCAAUUAAGACAUAAAAUUAGAAUUAGGGGAUCGCAGUUUUUUUGGGAAUUAAAAUUUCCCUAUGAUUCAUACAUGAAUAUGGCCUCUCACUUGUAGGGAAUUGACGGUGAAAUUAUAAUCGUCACAGCAGAAUGCAAUCAAAAGUUACGGUGCUAAAAGUUUAGGCAUAUAUCAAAUUAGAGUGAAUCUCGCAUCACUUUGAUUUGGUCUUAUGCCGAUCGAAUCACCUGAUGCAGUAUGUAAUUCCUUAUUAAAACUUGCAAUUUUUUAUUUUGAAAAGAUUUAAAAUUUGUAAUUUCAUUACAGAAAUGAGGCGGGGGCUCACAAACAGAAAGCUAGCGAUUUAAAGAGCCACAGUCAAGCUUUAGAAGCCGAUGGUAACAUAGUUAGAACAAUAGAAUCUGAUAGCGUUAGGGAUUCAUAAGCUAUUUGUAAGUAUUUGUACUCCCUGACUAAAUAAUUUGGGAAUAUAAGGAUGCAAUAAGAGUUGAGUGGUCUUUAUUCCAAUAGCAUUAUUUUUUUCGAGCUUCAUCCGUGCUCUAUUCAAUCUUUAUGUGCCGCUUGUGUUAUGUUCCUGCAUAUCUAAUUACCUUUAGAUGCUAGUUGAUAUUUGACAAUUUUGCAGGUUAAGGAUAUUAGAUGGGAUGCAGAGCUUGGCAGUCAGAACAUGGAAUCACGGUUGGUUGAAUACUUUGUAGAUGAGUUUAAUAAACAAGUUGGUAAUUGGGUGAAGUGAGGAAGUCUCCCAAGGCCAUGGCUGAACUGAAGAAGCAAGUUAAAUAUACAAGAGCAAUUCUUUGUGCGAACACAAUGGAACCAAUAUCAGUUAUAUCUUUCCACGAUGAUAGGGACUUCAGAUAAGUGGAGUUAAAGUUCAGAUUUUACUGUUUGAGGUGCGUUUGAAGUUUAUUAACAAAAUUAAUGUGUUCUUUAAAUGAGUGAGGAACUGUAGAACAUGACAAGUAGAGUUUAUUGUGUGAGGGAUGCAUAUUCUCUUACAAGUGCUUUGUUCUUUAAUAUAGCACUAUAAGACAUCUUCUGAUGAAAAAUAGAGUCAAUAAAAUUACUCCAGACUGACUGGGCCGUUACGUUUUGGAUUCCAAUUCUUGCAUGAGAUUUCUUUUUCCUUUUUUUCUUUUUUCAAAUUUACUAGUGGUACUUUCAUUUGGUAAACUAUUCUAUACAUACAUAUAUAUAUAUAUAUAUAUAUAUAUAUAUAUACUCUAAUCAAUUAUAUUGGCUUAUUCUCCUUUUAUGUUGAUUCACGCUGCUGGUAUAGAUAAAAUUUAUUUAUUAGUUUUGGUGAAAAAUUUGUUUUGUUGCACACGGAUAGUAAACCCAAAUACAUUCAUAUGUGUUAGAGCAGCUCAUUAUGCUGAACAGAAGAAGGUGAAGACUAAGAUGAAGAAAAUACAGAGCAAGUUACAGGGCAAGUGUGUCAGCAGUGCCAGCUCAGCUAACAGCUCAGCAGAUUAGUUAAAGAUGGUUGUAAGCAUGAUGUGCAUUGUACUGAAGUUAGUUAGCUUUGAUUACAGUUAGUCUUUGGAUUAGUUAAAUGAAGUUACCGUGAUUGCAUUGUAUAUAAACAUGUGAUGCUUUGUAAAAAGGUUAAGCAAAAUAAAAAUCAAAGUUUGUUAAGGAAAUAUCUCCAGAAUUAUCAAUUCAUUUUCUUAGUAACCAAACAACUUUAUUUUCAUUUUCUUUCAUGGUAUCAGAGCCACUCUAAUGGCUAGUUCCAGUAGCACAACAUCAAAUCCAAAUCAAAUGAAUAUAAAUCAAUCAUCACAUAUCUCCUUUUCGUUCAGCACUCCAGUCAAAUUGGAUCGAUCAAAUUUCAUGAUUUGGCGAAAGCAAGUUCUUACUACAAUAAGAGGAAAUCGUCUUGAAGAUUUUAUUUCUGGAAAUCAAAUCAUACCAGAACAAUACAUUUCUAAUACAGUAGCUGAUGGAUCAGUACAGAGAAUCACGAAUCCAGCUUACAUCAACUGGCGAGCUCAGGAUCAAACUUUGCUUGGCUGGAUUUUGUCAUCCAUAAGUGAAGGUAUCUUAAAUACUGUUCUUAAUUGCGAAAAUUCAUUUGAAGCAUGGAGAUCAAUUGAAAAACAAUUUGGAGUACAAUCUGAGGCUAGAGUUAUGCAAUUGAGGUAUGAAAUGAAUGUCCUUAGAAAAGAGAAUAUGUCUAUUGAGGAGUACUGUUUAAAAGUAAAAGUUGUUGCUGAUAAGCUUGCUUGUGCUGGUAGCCCUGUGUCUGAGAAAGAUCUGCUAAUGCAAAUUUUGAAUGGCCUAGGACCUGGAUUUCUAGAUCUUGCUUCAAUAAUUACUGCUAAUAGAAUGUCGUAUGAUGAUGCUUAUGCAUUACUCUUAACACAUGAGGCAAGAAUGGAACAAAAUCAUAAUACUAAAGAUCUUUUUAGUGCAAACUAUGGGAUGAUGAAUGCUAACUACUCUCAGUUUAGAGGAAAUAAUAAGAGAGGUGGUUAUAGUGGAUAUCAAGGGCAAUUUAAUGCUGGAAAUAGGAAUCAAAAUGGAGGAAGAGGAAUGUUUUUCAAUUCAUUCUCAAGAGGUUUUCCAGCUGGUGGAUAUACUGGUAAUGCUGGUGGCAGAGGACAGCAAAUGAAUGCAUAUGCUUAUAAACCUGUGCUUAACAACAGGCAUAAUUUCAAUAUGAAUCAUGGCUCAACUUCAAUGUCCAAUGGAAAUGGAUCUGAUGAUAAUGUGCUUAUCUGUCAAAUCUGUCAUAAAGCUGGACAUGCAGCUGAUGUUUGUUGGCACAGACACUUUGAUGGCUAUGCUCCUCAACCCAGACAAUUUGGAAGGGGCAGAGGGCAUAAGUCUGCUUAUAUGGCUAACUUUGAUCCACAAAUUGGCUUUACUUCACAAUUUGAAGAUUCAUUUGCUACAGAAUAUCCUGGUUAUCAUGGGUACCAUCCACCUGAUAUGAAUGCAUCAGUUGCAUCAGUAAGUCAUCACUCAUCUGAUAUGCAUUCUGUACCUGGAGCAGCUUAUAUUGCAAAUUUUGAAGGACCAGCUGAUGAAGGGUGGUAUCUUGAUAGUGGAGCUACGCAUCACAUCACUAACAACAUGGCCAAUAUGCAUAUCAGAGAUCAAUUCACUGGAGCAGAUCAGCUCAUUAUUGGAAAUGGACAAGGUUUGCCCAUAACUCAUGUUGGUGAUGCAUCCUUUCUCUUUAAAAGUUCCAAUUCUACACACAAACACUCACCUAUAGUACUUAAAGAUAUUCUGUUGGUGCCUUCCAUUACCAAAAAUUUGUUAAGUAUCUCGAAGCUUACCACUGAUAACAACUUGUCUGUUGAAUUUCUUGGAAAUGUUUGUUUUGUGAAGGAUUCUCUGAGGGGACAGGUACUUCUGCAGGGUCUUGCUGAGAAAGGGUUAUACAGGCUGUUAUUGAAAUCAUCAUCAUCCUCUCAGUUAUCAUCAUCUUUUCUUUCUCACAUGUGUUCCAAUAAACCUUUGUCUAUGCUUUCUUGUUGUUGUUUCAAUUCUGUUCCUUCUGGAGUUGUUACAGAAUCUCAGAAAUCAUGUAAUCAAACUGAUGAUUCAUCUUGUAAAACUUCAGUUAAUAAAGCUAUUUUGCUUCAUAGAAAGUUUGGUCAUCCCAAUCAUCAAAUAUUAACUCAUAUACUCAAAACAGCAAAAUCUAUUCAUUUACCUGCAUAUCAAAAGCAACAAAUGCAUCAGUACAUCUGUGAGGCCUGUCAAAUGGGCAAAACACAUAAACUUCAUUUUCCAAUUACUGAAACCAAAACCUCCAAAACUCUAGAACUUAUACACACUGAUUUAUGGGGUCCUUCUCCCAUUAUUUCUAGAGAUGGUUAUCAGUAUUAUAUAAGUUUUGUAGAUGACUACAGCAGGUAUACAUGGAUUUAUCCUUUGAAGCUAAAGUCUGAGGCAUUAGAAGUCUUUAAGCUCUUUAAACUGCAGGUUGAAAAUCAGUUUAGCACAACCAUUAAGAUGAUGCAAUCUGAUUGGGGGGGAGAGUAUAGACCAUUCACUGAGUUUUUAAGCCAAUUUGGUAUCAUCUUUAGACAUCCUUGUCCUUACACUCAUCAUCAAAAUGGGUUAGUUGAAAGGAAGCAUAGACAUAUUGUUGAAUUGGGUCUGACUCUCUUAGCUCAAGCUCAACUUCCCUUUAAGUUCUGGUGGGAUGCAUUUCAUACUGCUGUAUAUCACAUCAACAGACUUCCAUCUCCUGUUUUGCACCUUUUAACCCCAUAUGAAAAGACAUUCAAACACAAACCUGAUUAUGAUUUUCUCAGAUGUUUUGGGUGUUCUUGUUAUCCUUACUUGAGAGAUUACAAUAAACAUAAAUUUGCCUACCAUUCUAGUAAGUGCAUAUUCAUUGGUUACAGUCCUUCACAUAAGGGCUACAAAUGUUUACACCCUUCAGGUCGAGUCUAUGUGGCAAGACAUGUUACCUUUGAUGAAUCAGUUUUUCCUUAUGCCACUGAGUUUGUUUUUCAUAGUCAUGCUAAAACUGAUUCUCAAAUUUCUCAUUCCCAUACACCACAGCAAAUCCAUCAUAUCUCUUCUUUGCCUGUCAAUAACAGCACUGGUAAUCUGAACUCUGUAAGAUCUGGAAGCAGCAGUUCAAGUCACUCAGAUCAUCUAGAACAGACAGCAACUGAUCAGAAUUCACAACAAGCUACCAUAAAUGACAGGUCACCUUUUCAUACAUGUCCAACAAUUGUUGAAUCUAUACAAAAUAUUCCAGAACCUCCACAUCACUCUUUGCCUAUACAAAGUCACCAUCCUAGCAACACUUCUUUCUAUCCAUAUACACAACCAAAUACACAUCAGAUGAUAACCAGAAGUAAAGCAGGGAUUUUCAAACCCAAAAUUUAUACUGCUGUGCUUACUCACAAGGAACCAGAUACUGUGCAAGAAGCAUUAAAUGAUUCAAAGUGGCUACAAGCUAUGAGGGAGGAAUAUGAUGCCUUGAUUAAGAAUAAUACAUGGACAUUGGUUCCAAGACAAGCUGAUCAGCAUGUGGUUGGAAAUAAAUGGGUGUAUAGAAUCAAAUAUAAUACAGAUGGAAGUGUAGCUACGUAUAAAGCUAGACUUGUUGCAAAGGGUUUUCAGCAAGUGGCAGGGAUUAACUAUUUUGAGACAUUUAGCCCAGUUGUGAAGUCAGCUACAGUUAGAGUAAUACUUAGCUUGGCAGUGAUGAAUCAGUGGAGAAUAAGGCAAGUGGACGUCAAUAAUGCCUUUUUGAAUGGAGAGCUAACAGAAGAAGUUUUCAUGUCUCAACCUGAUGGCUUUAUUGAUGCUCAGAGAUCUGAUUUUGUAUGCAAAUUACACAAGUCUCUGUAUGGGCUCAAGCAAGCUCCUAGAGCCUGGUAUGACAAGCUUAAAGGAUGCUUAAUAAGCUGGGGUUUCACUACUACUAGUUCUGACACCUCAUUGUUUGUUAGGAAGAUCAAGACAUCUAUGAUCAUAGUUCUUAUAUAUGUUGAUGACAUACUGAUCACAGGUCCAAAUACUGAGGAGCUGGAAGGUUUCAUAACUGAAUUCAGCAAAACUUUUGCUCUAAAGGAUCUGGGAGUGUUAUCUUAUUUCCUUGGAAUUGAGGUAUUAUAUGAUGCAGAUUGUAUGUACUUGUCACAGAGAAAGUAUAUCAGAGAUUUGUUAUCGAAGGUAGAAAUGACUGAAUGUAAGGGCAUUGAUACACCCAUGAGUACUGGCUCUAAACUGCAAAAGAUAGUUCAGGGGGAACUUGGAUACUAUCUUGAAGAUCCAACUCAUUAUAGGAGCAUAGUUGGAGGAAUGCAGUACCUGAUACUUACCAGACCUGAGAUUGCGUUUGCUGUAAACAAGCUCAGUCAGUAUGUAGCUGCACCAACACUACAACAUCUAAUGGCAUGCAAGAGAGUUCUAAGAUAUCUAAAGGCAACUCAAGAUUAUGGUUUAAAAUUUUUCAGAGAAGGAAGCUUAACACUCACUAGUUUUACUGAUGCAGAUUGGGCAUGUGACUUAGAUGAUAGGAAAUCAGUUGGUGCUUAUUGCAUUUAUUUAGGCAAUAAUUUGAUAUCCUGGUCUUCUAAGAAACAAUCAGUGAUAACCAGAUCAAGUGCCGAGAGUGAGUAUAGAGCUUUGGCAUCAGUGAGUGCAGAGCUGACAUGGUUACAAUCCUUAUUUUCUGAGUUGGGAUUAAGUUGCAUAGAAAAGCCAAUCAUAUGGUGUGACAACAUUAGUGCCACUGAACUAGCAAAGAAUCCUGUGUAUCAUUCAAGAACAAAGCAUAUCGAAAUUGAUAUGCACUUCAUUAGGAAUAAGGUUCUUGCUGGUGAGUUGAUUAUUCACUAUGUACCAAGUGAAGAACAGAUUGCAGACAUAAUGACCAAGCCUCUUUCAUUUGUAAGGUUUAACUACUUGAGGUCCAAACUCAAUGUCCAUCUUUGUCCUCUGAGUUUGAGGGGGGCUGUUAGAGCAACUCAUUAUGCUGAACAGAAGAAGGUGAAGACUAAGAUGAAGAAAAUACAGAGCAAGUUACAAGGCAAGUGUGUCAGCAGUGCCAGCUCAGCUAACAGCUCAGCAGAUUAGUUAAAGAUGGUUGUAAGCAUGAUGUGCAUUGUACUGAAGUUAGUUAGCUUUGAUUACAGUUAGUCUUUGGAUUAGUUAAAUGAAGUUACCGUGAUUGCAUACAGGUGAUGCUUUGUAAAAAGGUUAAGCAAAAUAAAAAUCAAAGUUUGUUAAGGAAGUAUCUCCAGAAUUAUCAAUUCAUUUUCUUAGUAACCAAACAACUUUAUUUUCAUUUUCUUUCAAUAUGGAUAUCUGGGGUUUGUUUUGUCUUUUAGGAGCAGCAUUACCUGUCGAAAGUUCAAAGAGCUCACUGAACUUAAGCAUUCGGGGUUGAAAAUGGACGAGAUAUAUGCAGUGGAGUUCAUUGGAGGAGCUACUAUAGUGCCAAAGUUGCAGGUUUGCAAUAUCCGCUUUGUUUUGGUAGUUAGCCCGAGUAUUAAAUUCUUGAGGCGUGUAAGGUAGUGGACUUUAGCCAAUUCAAGAGUAGAAUAUAAUAUGUUUACUUGUUUUGAUCUUAAUCUUUAAUCACUUACCCUGAAUAAGAAAUAAUUUUUUAUAUUUGCUCUGCUAUGAUGUUAUUCGGUGUUAAUAGCUUCGUUUUAUUGCUCUUUUCCGCACAAAUUCUUGAUCUCAAAAGAACUUUUAUUUUGAAUAUUCUGCGUAAGGACAAUCUGAUUUAAUACCAUCAGUGAUUUUUCAUUUUUUCUCUUUAGUUUUAAUAUGUUUGAUAACUGUAUGGUUAAGCAAUCUAUGCAAUUUUAUCUUGUCGUAUGUUUGAGCUCAUUUUUUGUUGCACUUCUGAAUAUUUGGUAUUAAUUAUGUGAUAUCGGACAAUACUAUUAACUUGUUAAUUGCUUAAAUCUAAUAUCUUGUCAAAGUCACUAAUAGCAUUUCAUCAUGCAAUGAGUUAAACAUGGAACAAAUGAUGACAUGCGGUUGUGGAAUGUGUUAGAUCUCUGGGAUUCUAUGUCCUUAUGCUUGCAGGGCAACACAAUACAUUUGUUAAAACAUUGAAGACUGUGAUGUCCGCAGAAAAUUAUACGUCAACUUAUGCACCAGGCAUGAUGAAAUUAGCCAAAGACAGUGCUUGGAAGUGGCAAGCGACAAUUUGCUUCUACCAAUGACUUCAGAUCUUAAACCUGUUUCAAGCAAGGCCAGCAAUGACAUUAUGUUCAAAACAGUUUAGCCAGACACACUUGUUCACACCCCUCUACUACAUAUAACCUAGAGGUACAUUUUUUCUUUACAUUCUUUCUAUACGAUUGGGAUUAGGCUUAUCCAGUUCAAUACAUUAUUUCACAAAACUUAUACCAACUUAUUCCUAAUUAUAGUGGACACAAUUAACUUACUUUGGCAAUUGUUUCGAAGAGGUUGACAUCAACUACCAGUGAUGACAAUCUCUUGUAAUGUUUUGGUGCUAUCUACUAAAUAUUACUACUACAUAAUAUUGACAAUUCAUCUAUGUGCAGGCCCGUGAUAACCAUUUAGAUCGACCAGAUAAAGGACUUGGACAUCAACAAUUUGCCCAGAAACCAAUAAGAUAUUGUAAUCAUAAGCAAUCACCCAUCUCUUUGGAUGGUGCUCUAUUGUGAUUCUUUCCUCUAUGACUGUUAAAUAAGCAAUGUAUUGCACUUUUGUUAUGCAAAAGUAUGGCGACCAUGUAUCAACCAGUGCAUCUAUUUUAUACACUAAUUAUGACUUACUAGAAAUUUUAUUACAUUAAUCAUUUUUAGAUAGCUACUCAUCGCAAACGAAAUAAACUGUUCAGGGACACUUGACCCAACAUGCUUGUGACCGACCUUAGAAUAAUUUUUUGUCACUUAAUAUAGACAACUUCUACGAGGUUAAUAUUUCUUCAAAUUUUAACAAAAUCAUUGGCCACAUGAAAACAUACACAUGUUUCCGUUGGCAUGUUAAGUAGACGGGAACAACAUGCGGGGUAUGUACGCCAUUACCUUAAACGAAGCAAAAUUAUCUUGUGUUUAUCAAAGUUUGAAACUAAUUCUGUGCUUACAAAGAAUGUAUGAAUAACGCAUUAUACUCAUACACCAAAUUUUAAUAUGAUGGAAUCAAGUAAUUCUGUCUUAAUCAAAGUUUUUAGACUUACAAGAUGAUGGUCAAGUUUAUAUAAAAGCAAAUAACACUGAAAUCUAAUCAUCCUAUACAAACAAAUAUGAUUUAUUCAAUUAUAGCAAACAAUUGUUUUAUCGGAGUUAAUUACAUUAUUGCUAAACUUGUAUAAGUUUUCCUGUUUCAAACAUAUCUACUUAAUUACAUUAUUCAUCGACAAUGUUACUUUGCCAGUGGAAGUUUCAUUUUUUCAUACCUUAAUCACUAUUUAAUGCUUCGUUUUCCAAUAGUUCUAAUUCUUCAAAUUUUGGUUUUAUUCUUCCAUAAUUAUAAAUUGAUACUGAUUCGCAUGACUCAAAUUAAAGUGGUUAAUUACUCUAAAGUAUAAAUCUAGCAGUCAAUAAUUACAUAAAAAUAAUUGCAAAAAAAAAGUUAAUAAGGAAUAGUAUAAAUUUAAAAACUGCCAAAGUUACGAGAUAUAUGCUUGAUAUUUAAAUCAUGGCCAUAAUACUUUCUCACAUUAUAUAUAUAUAUAUAUAUAUAUAAUGUGAUUCAGUUCUUUAAUUAACCACUCUAUGAAUAAAUAUGAGAAUUAAGUACAUAUUAUGCCACAACCUUAUUGAAGUGUUCCCACUACAAUAUUAGUAGUCAACAUUAGGUCUAAACACCCACAUAAAUCCAAGGGAUCUAGAUCUACAAAUAUUAACCACUCUAUGAAUAAACAUGGGGAUGAAGUACAUAAUUGCCACGACCAUAUUGGAAUGUUUCCACUACCAUAUUCGUGUGUCAACGUUGCGUCUAAACAUUUAUAUACAUCCAAGCAAAUUUAUAUUUGUAAAUAAAUAUAAAAUAUGGAAUGAAAAUAAUCGGUAGAAAAUAUAAAUUACAAACAAUAAACUUAAAAUACAUUUGAGAAAGUAAUUAAAUCCACAAUUUAGAUCCUUGAAUUUCACACUCAUCACCUUAGCUUAAAACAUUAGCCACUCAUAUUAAUAAAAAAAACACUCAUUUUGUUUUAUAAAUUUGUAAAAGUAUAAUACAAGAAAAAUUAAAAUAAAGAAGAGAAAAAAAAAAUCUCUUCUUAUUAACUACACUUCUUCAUAAAAUUCACUCUAAAUUUCUCUAGGAAACUCACCUCUAAAAUUCUACACACCGAAUUAUCAAAUCUCUUGCCUUUAUAUAAAGGUAAAUUCUAGGUUGAUCAAGUGUGGGUAUUUACAUGAUAUUUUUGGUGAACUUGCAACCACAACCUUUAAAUGACCUUUGAUAAUACAAAUACAAUCCAAGGGGUCCAAAAUUGCAAGUAUUGUCAUGCAUAAUAAAACGGUUCAUUCAACAUAAUCAAUGGCUAUAAAGAAGUCAAAUCGGGAUCCUCCAUUGGAUUUUUUUUUCUUAAUUAUUCAAGGUGGUUGAAUCACUAUAUUGAUAAGUAUUAAAUUUAGUAUAAAGAGGUGCAUGUGAGCUCAGACACACGACACAUAUCAACUUUUCAGAAUUAAUGUUAGAUAAAACGGCUACCAAUAUUUUUGUGAAAAUUAAAAUUAAAAUUUUUACUUUUAUUUAAUGUAUACUUUCUAGUAUUAAUCAUUAAUGAACAAUUUUUUAUUUCAUCGCCGUCUAGAUUGCUUUUAUCUUAUACAAAUUUAUUUAAAACCUUUAAAUAGUUUCUAACCACUAUAUAAUUUUAUCUGUCGUCCUUAAUCUUGUUAUCCACAACUGACCAACAUAUUGUUACCUACCAUUAUAGUUGUGUAAUUCACCUUUUGUUAACUGACUUCACUAAUAUAUUUUAAAAGAAACGUGGCCAUCUGUUGCUCGUUGGAUCACUUGCUUUUAAAUCCAAUAAUUCCGUGAGAUAAAGACAAAACGCUUGCUAUAGCGCUACAGUUACAACAUAGACGUGGCCGUAGAGGCGAGAAAAAAAAUCUAUUUGUUUAGUCACUGUACACUUUUUCAUUCAUUUUGUCCGCUUCCAAAUCCUCGGGAGAAACAACACAAAUAAAAAAAAGAUUUUAAGAAAUUUGAUGCCUUGUUCGCCGAAUCUCUCCACUUUUAAAUAGUGUCGUGAUCCUGAUCGUGUGAUCUGGUAAUGGUAUGACAAUUACUUUGGAGAAAACACCGGCCCACUUUUAAUAAAAUAAAUUUUAUACCAAACGAAUCAUAAGGCAAAAACACUGCACUUACCUAUCCAUACUGAUUAAACUCCCUCACCAUCACAUUUUAAUAAUGACAAUUGGUUGUGUUAGCAUUUUGGUCAAAAGGCUGGACCCCCCCGCCCCCACAAAACAAACAAAAAAAAAUUAUGAUAAUAAUUAACAUUCAUAAAUAAAAAUUAAUAAUGGGUGUGUUAGCAUUUUGGUCAAAAGCGGGUUUGACCUUCACAUUAAUUGGAAUUUUGGAUCUAUAAUAUGAUUUUCACCGAAAAUAUAAUUUUGCCGCUAAUUAUUUGGGUAAUCAGAUAAUAAUAACAAAAAAAUGUUAUCUCUCACCUAUAACUUGAGGAGAUAAUAAUAAAAGUCUUUCAUCAUAAUCUACUGUUAGUUUCUCUUCUUCAUUUUUUUCUCCUUUGAAGUCUUUCAACAAAAAUGGGUGGCAUCAUCUCAACCUUCUUCUCAGCGGACACAAUUCGUCCAAUUUUAUUUUACGUCGGUGGACAAGCAAAGUAUAUAUGGGGUCUUAAAGGUAAUCUCGAUGACUUGCAGACUCAAAAGGAGAACUUGAUUGCGAAAAAACAAGAUCUGCUGAAUAAGGUUAAGCUUGCCGCGCAACAACCCCGAAUCAGACGGACGACGACGGUGGAACUUUGGUUUAAAAGGGUGGAAGAAAUGGAAACUAAAGUUGAAAAUCUGCAAAAAGAAGGAGAUCAACAGGUUGAUAGACUGUGUCUUGGAGGCUUCUGUUCCACGGACUUGAUUUCAAGCUACGACUUCGGCAAAAAAGUGGAGAACUUGAGAGAAAAAGUGAUCGAACUGAAGAAAGAGGGGGAAGCAAUGAAAGAAGUUUAUGAGGGGGUACCAGAAGGUGCAGCGGUUGAAAAAGCUGUUGACCGAACAAUCGUUGGUCAAGAAUCAAUACUUGACCGAGUGUGGAGAUGCAUCACAGAUCAAGAAAAGAAUGAGGAAAUUAUUGGCUUAUAUGGUAUGGGGGGCAUCGGCAAAACUACUCUGUUAAAACAAGUCAACAACAAGUUCUGCAGUGAGGAGCAUGAUUUUGAUGUCGUUAUCUGGUCGGUUGUAUCUAGAGAGCCAAACUUGAAGCAGAUUCAAGAGGAUAUUGGGAAAAGGAUAGGCUUCUCAACAGAUUCAUGGCAGGGAAAAAGUUUUGAAGAAAGGGCUUCAGACAUCACCAACACUUUAAAGCAUAAGAAGUUUGUAUUGUUAUUGGAUGAUAUAUGGGAGUCCGAAAUUGAUUUAACAAAAUUGGGCGUCCCUCUUCGGACACUAGAUUCUGGGUCCAGAAUAGUCUUCACAACUCGUUUUGAGGGUACUUGUGGUAAAAUGGGAGCCCAUAAGAAUCGGUACAAAGUGUUUUGUUUGGGAGAUGACGAUGCCUGGAAAUUAUUUGAGGGGGUGGUCGGGAGUUACGUUCUUAACAAGCAUCCCGACAUUCCGAAGUUAGCCGAGGAUGUGGCACGUCAGUGUCAUGGUUUGCCGCUGGCCCUCAAAACAGUAGGUAAUGCCAUGGCGAGCAAAGUGUACCCUGAAGAAUGGAAAGAAGCAAUUGAGAUCCUAAGCGCAUCAGCUUCUAAAUUCGAAGAUAUGGAGAAAAAGGUGCUUUCGAGCUUAAAGUUCAGCUAUGACAGUUUGCCGAAAGAUGAACUUCGAUCUUGUCUCCUGUACUAUUGUUUAUUUCCCGAAGACUCUGAAAUUGAAAAAACUGAGUUGAUAGAGUAUUGGAAAAGUGAAGGAUUUGUGGAUUCCAGCAGCGGGUGGGGGGUUCUUGGUGCUCUCGUUCGGGCAUGCUUAUUGGAGGAAGCAGGUGAUCGUGUAAAAAUGCACGAUAUGAUCCGUGACAUGGCAUUAUGGAUAGCAACGGAAAUAGAGGAGGAGGAGAACUUUUUGGUUCGUGCAGGAGUUGGAUUAACUGACGCCCCAAAGAUUGAAGAAUGGGAAGGGGUCAAAAGGAUAUCCUUGAUGAGGAACAAAAUUCGAAGUCUACCACAAAUUCCCACUUGUCCGCGUCUGCAAACAUUGCUUCUGGAAUAUAAUCAUAUUGAGGAGAUCACUGAGAGUUUCUUUCAAUCUUUGCCUUCGCUUAGAGUUUUGAAUCUAAGUGGAAAUCAUUACCUAACUGAACUACCUGUAGGGAUUUCAAGUUUGGUUUCAUUACACCAUCUUGAUCUGUCUUCUACUGGAGUACGUGGAUUGCCGCAAGAGCUCAAGGCAUUGGUGAAUCUGAGAUAUUUGAACUUGGAGUAUACACAUGAAAUGUCUAGAAUUCCAGAGCAAUUGAUAUCAAGCUUUCCAAAGUUACAGGUACUCAGGAUGCUGUAUUGCGGUUCAAACCACCGGCCAAUAGCGGAAGAAGGCAACGUUCUAUCCGAUGAUGCUGAAUCAUUGAUGAAGGAAAUCCACUGUUUGGAACAAUUAAACCUCAUCACCUUGUCCUUACAUGGUUCGCGUGGUGUUGAAAACUUUCUGAAAUUCCCAAAGCUGCAGAAUAUCACUCAAGCUCUGUACAUCAAAGACUGCAACAGUCUACCGCUCAAUUUGUUGCAUCUAGCAAACAUGGAGCAUCUUGAGCGG